rnacentral:tRNA from 1 species
GCCAGCAUGAUGUAGUGGCUAGAGCACUGGACUACCACUCUGGAAACUAGGGUUUGAAUCCCUGUUGGCU